rnacentral:tRNA from 1 species
GUGGCUAUAGCUCAGCUGGUUAGAGUGCCUGGUUGUGGCCCAGGAGGUCGUGGGUUCAAAUCCCAUUAGCCACCC